rnacentral:rRNA from 1 species
CAUAGGUUAAUGAGGCGAACCGGGGGAACUGAAACAUCUAAGUACCCCGAGGAAAAGAAAUCAACCGAGAUUCCCCCAGUAGCGGCGAGCGAACGGGGAGGAGCCCAGAGCCUGAAUCAGUGUGUGUGUUAGUGGAAGCGUCUGGAAAGGCGUGCGAUACAGGGUGACAGCCCCGUACACAAAAAUGCACAUAUUGUGAGCUCGAUGAGUAGGGCGGGACACGUGGUAUCCUGUCUGAAUAUGGGGGGACCAUCCUCCAAGGCUAAAUACUCCUGACUGACCGAUAGUGAACCAGUACCGUGAGGGAAAGGCGAAAAGAACCCCGGCGAGGGGAGUGAAAAAGAACCUGAAACCGUGUACGUACAAGCAGUGGGAGCCUCUUAAUGGGGUGACUGCGUACCUUUUGUAUAAUGGGUCAGCGACUUAUAUUCUGUAGCAAGGUUAACCGAAUAGGGGAGCCGAAGGGAAACCGAGUCUUAACUGGGCGUUAAGUUGCAGGGUAUAGACCCGAAACCCGGUGAUCUAGCCAUGGGCAGGUUGAAGGUUGGGUAACACUAACUGGAGGACCGAACCGACUAAUGUUGAAAAAUUAGCGGAUGACUUGUGGCUGGGGGUGAAAGGCCAAUCAAACCGGGAGAUAGCUGGUUCUCCCCGAAAGCUAUUUAGGUAGCGCCUCGUGAAUUCAUCUCCGGGGGUAGAGCACUGUUUCGGCAAGGGGGUCAUCCCGACUUACCAACCCGAUGCAAACUGCGAAUACCGGAGAAUGUUAUCACGGGAGACACACGGCGGGUGCUAACGUCCGUCGUGAAGAGGGAAACAACCCAGACCGCCAGCUAAGGUCCCAAAGUCAUGGUUAAGUGGGAAACGAUGUGGGAAGGCCCAGACAGCCAGGAUGUUGGCUUAGAAGCAGCCAUCAUUUAAAGAAAGCGUAAUAGCUCACUGGUCGAGUCGGCCUGCGCGGAAGAUGUAACGGGGCUAAACCAUGCACCGAAGCUGCGGCAGCGACACUAUGUGUUGUUGGGUAGGGGAGCGUUCUGUAAGCCUGUGAAGGUGGCCUGUGAGGGUUGCUGGAGGUAUCAGAAGUGCGAAUGCUGACAUAAGUAACGAUAAAGCGGGUGAAAAGCCCGCUCGCCGGAAGACCAAGGGUUCCUGUCCAACGUUAAUCGGGGCAGGGUGAGUCGACCCCUAAGGCGAGGCCGAAAGGCGUAGUCGAUGGGAAACAGGUUAAUAUUCCUGUACUUGGUGUUACUGCGAAGGGGGGACGGAGAAGGCUAUGUUGGCCGGGCGACGGUUGUCCCGGUUUAAGCGUGUAGGCUGGUUUUCCAGGCAAAUCCGGAAAACCAAGGCUGAGGCGUGAUGACGAGGCACUACGGUGCUGAAGCGACAAAUGCCCUGCUUCCAGGAAAAGCCUCUAAGCAUCAGGUAACAUCAAAUCGUACCCCAAACCGACACAGGUGGUCAGGUAGAGAAUACCAAGGCGCUUGAGAGAACUCG